CAGAAAGGAAACGGAUGCGACCUAGACGACUGCCACGAAAAUGAAAGACGGGUUUGACUUUGGCCUUAUCCAGAGGUAAUACCUUGGCAAAGACUUGAUGAUCUGAUGGGUACAGUAACUGAUGAAGACAUCUGGGGGAAGAGCCAAGAUCCUGCUUGCGGCAGUGAGGAAGCAGGGUGACAAGAGUAGUGUGUUGGGAGGAGCACAGACGGCGAAAUCAAAGAGUCAAUAGGUUCUUCUAUACUGACUUCAAAAAGAGUACUUAUCUAAAGGAUCCUGUACAACGGGGACAUAACUACUUCAGGGAAGAUAACAUGAGGAAUUUAACAGAAAUGUCUGUCUGCCUACCUCUUAGGAGAUGGUGGUUUUUCUGGAAAAUAUAAAAAGCAAAGGGGUCAUUUGCAUGUAUGACUUUCCAGAAAAUAAUAUAGAGACUUGAAACACGUUUUAAUCCUUUAAUUGGAAUUUCCACUUAAGCAUCUUCUGGUAUUAAUUCUAGAUCACUCUCUGCAGGUUAUAUGAAUAAACUUGAUCCCUCCUUGCUCCACACCAGCUUCCAUGGGGGUUUAUUG